GUUUUCCGCACCCCGGAGUACCUACUUUCGCUUUGUCUUUAGCCUGACUGAGGGAUUUCCGAGUUAAUGUUGCGUUUCGCUUUUCCUUAUUUGCUUUCCAUUUGCCAACUGCUCGACCUGAAAAAUGGAAAGAAAGCGCUUUUGAUGCUCAUUUACAGUAGAAAGUUUUCACAUUCCCUCAACGUGCUUAAGAAGGUAUUCGGUAUCGAUUUUGAUUUCUUCUUGACUUUGUUUCAUUUUUCGUUCUUUGAAUAAUCUGAAUUAGGACUUCCCUCACGGCAAAGUUCCUUAAGUGUGCCUUGAAGAGAUUGAGAAGUGGUGGCCAUUAGUGAAUCCGGAUGCCUUGGAAACGUCCGCAGCAGUAAAACCGGCGAUUUGUCCAAUACGAAAGUUUGUUUUCGUGUUCGGGACAAUAAUAUUGAACGUGGUCUCUACUAAUUUAUGACUCUAAACGCUAAUGAACAGGAAUCGGAAUGGGAACUUAAGCUUCUUAAUUAAAAAUAUUUUUCUAUGGU